AGAGUUUGAUCAUGGCUCAGAACGUACGCUGGCGGCACGCUUAACACAUGCAAGUCGAACGAAGUAGCAAUACUUAGUGGCAGACGGGUGAGUAACAUGUGGGUAUCUGCCCUUUGGCCUGGAAUAACACGAGGAAACUUGUGCUAAUACCGGAUAAGUCUUUACGGAGAAAGCUUUAUGCACCAUUGGAUGAGCCCGCACUUGAUUAGUUUGUUGGUGGGGUAAUGGCCUACCAAGACUGUGAUCAAUAGCUGAUUUGAGAGGAUGAUUAGCCACAUUGGGACUGAGACACGGCCCAAACUCCUACGGGAGGCAGCAGUGGGGAAUCUUGCACAAUGGAGGAAACUCUGAUGCAGCGAUGCCGCGUGAGUGAAGAAGGCCCUUGGGUUGUAAAGCUCUUUCGUCGGGGAAGAAAAUGACUGUACCCGAAUAAGAAGGUCCGGCUAACUUCGUGCCAGCAGCCGCGGUAAUACGAAGGGACCUAGCGUAGUUCGGAAUUACUGGGCUUAAAGAGUUCGUAGGUGGUUGAAAAAGUUAGUGGUGAAAUCCCAGAGCUUAACUCUGGAACUGCCAUUAAAACUUUUCAGCUAGAGUAUGAUAGAGGAAAGCAGAAUUUCUAGUGUAGAGGUGAAAUUCGUAGAUAUUAGAAAGAAUACCAAUUGCGAAGGCAGCUUUCUGGAUCAUUACUGACACUGAGGAACGAAAGCAUGGGUAGCGAAGAGGAUUAGAUACCCUCGUAGUCCAUGCCGUAAACGAUGUGUGUUAGACGUUGGAAAUUUAUUUUCAGUGUCGCAGCGAAAGCGGUAAACACACCGCCUGGGGAGUACGACCGCAAGGUUAAAACUCAAAUGAAUUGACGGGGACCCGCACAAGUAGUGGAGCAUGUGGUUUAAUUCGAAGAUACGCGCAGAACCUUACCAACACUUGACAUGUUCGUCGCGACUCUAAGAGAUUAGAGUUUUCGGUUCGGCCGGACGAAACACAGGUGCUGCAUGGCUGUCGUCAGCUCGUGUCGUGAGAUGUUGGGUUAAGUCCCGCAACGAGCGCAACCCUCACUUUUAGUUGCCAUCAUUAAGUUGGGCACUCUGAAAGAACUGCCAGUGAUAAGCUGGAGAAAGGUGGGGAUGACGUCAAGUCCUCAUGGCCCUUACGUGUUGGGCUACACACGUGCUACAAUGGUAUCUACAACAGGAAGCAAGACUGCGAGGUCAAGCAAAUCCUUAAAAGAUACCUCAGUUCGGAUUGCACUCUGCAACUCGAGUGCAUGAAGCUGGAAUUACUAGUAAUCGUGGAUCAGCGUGCCACGGUGAAUGCGUUCCCGGGUCUUGUACACACCGCCCGUCACACCAUGGGAGUUGGUUCUACCUUAAGGCAAGGUUUCAAACCCUUGACCACGGUAUAGUCAGCGACUGGGGUGAAGUCGUAACAAGGUAACC
rnacentral:rRNA from 1 species